AGGGGGAGUGCCGGAUCUUGGGCUGUGUCCCCUGGCGCCCUUGCCUCCAGGGCCUGCGCCACUGGGACUGCGUUCCCAGGACUGCGCAGCCCCCU
rnacentral:pre_miRNA from 1 species